rnacentral:rRNA from 1 species
AGCGAACGCUGGCGGCAGGCUUAACACAUGCAAGUCGAACGGGCAUAGCAAUAUGUCAGUGGCAGACGGGUGAGUAACGCGUGGGAACGUACCUUUUGGUUCGGAACAACACAGGGAAACUUGUGCUAAUACCGGAUAAGCCCUUACGGGGAAAGAUUUAUCGCCGAAAGAUCGGCCCGCGUCUGAUUAGCUAGUUGGUAGGGUAAUGGCCUACCAAGGCGACGAUCAGUAGCUGGUCUGAGAGGAUGAUCAGCCACAUUGGGACUGAGACACGGCCCAAACUCCUACGGGAGGCAGCAGUGGGGAAUAUUGGACAAUGGGCGAAGGCCUGAUCCAGCCAUGCCGCGUGAGUGAUGAAGGCCCUAGGGUUGUAAAGCUCUUUUGUGCGGGAAGAUAAUGACGGUACCGCAAGAAUAAGCCCCGGCUAACUUCGUG